rnacentral:rRNA from 1 species
UAGGGAAUAUUGCUUAAUGGGCGAAAGCCUGAAGCAGCAACGCCGCGUGAACGAAGAAGGCCUUCGGGUUGUAAAGCACUUUUUGAGAGGAUGAGGAAGGACAGUACUCUUAGAAUAAGCCUCGGCUAACUACGUGCCAGCAGCCGCGGUAAAACGUAGGAGGCGAGCGUUAUCCGGAUUUACUGGGCGUAAAGCGUGUGUAGGCGGUUUGAUAAGUUGGAUGUGAAAGCUCCUGGCUUAACUGGGAGAGGUCGUUCAAAACUAUCAGACUUGAGAGUGGUAGAGGGAGGUGGAAUUCCGGGUGUAGCGGUGGAAUGCGCAGAUAUCCGGAGGAACACCAGUGGCGAAAGCGGCCUCCUGGACCAUUCCUGACACUCAGACGCGAAAGCUAGGGUAGCAAACG